rnacentral:misc_RNA from 1 species
UUUCCGUAGGUGAACCUGCGGAAGGAUCAUUACAGAGUUCAUGCCCUUCGGGGUAGAUCUCCACCCGUGUUUAUUUAUACCUUUUGUUGCUUUGGCGGGCCGCCUCGGCCAACGGCUCCGGCUGGUGCGUGCCCGCCAGAGGACCUCAAACUCUGAAUGUUAGUGUCGUCCGAGUACUAUAUAAUAGUUAAAACUUUCAACAACGGAUCUCUUGGUUCUGGCAUCGAUGAAGAACGCAGC